UACGUAGGGGGCGAGCGUUGUCCGGAGUUACUGGGCGUAAAGCGCACGCAGGCGGUCUGUUAAGUUUGGAGUGACAGUUGGUGGCUCAACCACCAAAGUGCUUUGAAAACUGAUAGACUUGAGGGCUUCAGAGGGACACGGAAUUCCGGGUGGAGUGGUGAAAUGCGUAGAGAUCCGGAGGAACACCAAAGGCGAAGGCAGUGUCCUGGGGAGUACCGUGACGCUCAGGUGCGAAAGCCAGGGGAGCGAACGGG
rnacentral:rRNA from 1 species